GACGAACGCUGGCGGCGUGCCUAAUACAUGCAAGUAGAACGCUGAAGGAGGAGCUUGCUCUUCUGGAUGAGUUGCGAACGGGUGAGUAACGCGUAGGUAACCUGCCUGGUAGCGGGGGAUAACUAUUGGAAACGAUAGCUAAUACCGCAUAAUAGUAGAUGUUGCAUGACAUUUGCUUGAAAGGUGCAAUUGCAUCACUACCAGAUGGACCUGCGUUGUAUUAGCUAGUUGGUGGGGUAACGGCUCACCAAGGCGACGAUACAUAGCCGACCUGAGAGGGUGAUCGGCCACACUGGGACUGAGACACGGCCCAGACUCCUACGGGAGGCAGCAGUAGGGAAUCUUCGGCAAUGGACGGAAGUCUGACCGAGCAACGCCGCGUGAGUGAAGAAGGUUUUCGGAUCGUAAAGCUCUGUUGUAAGAGAAGAACGAGUGUGAGAGUGGAAAGUUCAUACUGUGACGUAUCUACCAGAAAGG
rnacentral:rRNA from 1 species